CGGGUACGGCACGAACCAAUCCACGAAUAGAAACAAAAACGGCCAUACAUUGGAACAGCGGAUAAGCUAUUAAUUGUUUGGCGCCCUCACGGAAUUCACCAAUGGAUCCAUUCACUGACUUCAAUCCUCCGCCUCCUCCUCCUCCUCCUGACCCGAGUCACGUGCCACCCACUCGCCCCAGCCCCAAUCCCAAAUCCAGCGAGGCAGAGAUUAAAGAUAGUGUAUCUGCUAGGAAAAUUCAAAAGGCGGACCGAGAAAAAUUGAGGAGGGAUAGAUUGAAUGACCAUUUUGUUGAAUUGGGGAAUACCCUAGAUCCUGAUAGACCUAAAAAUGACAAAGCGACCAUUCUAGCUGACACAAUUCAGCUGCUGAAGGAUUUGACAUCUCAAGUUGACAAACUCAAGGCUGAGUAUGCUACACUGAGUGAAGAAUCUCUUGAGUUGACCCAAGAGAAAAAUGAUCUCAGAGAAGAGAAGGCAUCUCUUAAAUCGGAUAUUGAGAAUCUUAAUAUUCAGUGUCAGCAACGGCUCAGGGCUCCAUACCCAUGGCCUGCUAUGGAUCACUCAUUUAUGAUGGCCCCAACUUCAUAUCCCUUUCCCAUGCCAGUGCCAAUGCCUCCAGGGGCAAUUCCAUUGCAUUCAUCCAUACAGCCAUAUCCCUUUUUUGGAAAUCAGAAUCCUGCAGUCAUUCAUAACCCAUGUACAACUUUUGUUCCAUGUAUGGCCCCUAAUACCUUGGUUGAUCAGCAGUCCGCCCAGCAUGUUUCUUCUCUUUCACAGCCUGCCAGUCGAUCCCAUGUUUCAGGCGAACAAGAUCUGAAGAAUAAACCUUCAGGGGAGUGCAAGAUUGAGAAAAGCGAAGGUUCUAAUGAUGUUACCACGGACCUUGAAUUGAAGACUCCAGGAUCUACAGCAGAUCAGGAUUUAUCUUCAGGAGAAAGAAAGUCCAAAAAAUCCCAGAGGAAGGAAAGCAGUGUUACAGAAAGGAGUUCUUCAAGUAGGUGUUCUUCCUCUCACAGUGUACAGGAUAGCUCAUCCAACAGUGUUGUUGACAGCACAAAGCACGAUGAUUUAGACAAGUUAGAAUGAGCACAAGGAGAGUCAGAUGCUUCUAUUAAUAUGAGCACACCUUGGGGAGUUCUCCCUGUGUGAAGCUUCCAGGGAUGGUGCUUGGGAUCAUCUUUGCCAUUUUGUUUUGUUUUUAAGGACAAGAACAAUCCUUAGGUGCGGUUAAAACCUAAUUUUUGCAACUUUGACAGUGUCUCCAAUGUGGCUGUGAUAUUCUUACUUGGACAUAUGCAUGCCUUUUGGCUUGGAAACCAAUGGAGUGCGCGGUGACUAGUGUCUCAGGUUCGGAGCUAAUGUUCCUAGCUUACUUGAUCACCGAUGCGCUGGUGUUUAUAAAAAGACAGAAGGGCAAUGGGAGAAAGGGCUGUCUGGGUUAGGGAGAAUUGUGAUGACAGUUUAAUAAUGGGCGAGGAUAAAGCACAGUACCAGGAAUUCUGCUAGCCUGCUAGCGGGUCUCAAGAUCUGACAAGAGACUUUAUGAAUAAAAAGACUGUGUUACCCUGACAAUCUGACAAGAGACUUUAUGAAUAAAAAGACUGUGUUACCCUGACAAUGGGGCAACUACGGGCCAAUUCUUAGAAGAAAAAUAUCCAGUAGGCUUCAAGUUAGGAUACCUCGUGCAGAGAGCCCGAGGACCCCAGUCACCAUCAUCGAGUGCUGAAAUGGACUUUACUGUAUCCUCACUCCAUGUCGCUGAUACAGAUGUGUCUGUCUGUGGUUAAACUUGAGUAUUACUACCAUUCCCGAGGAGGAGAUUUGUUGUCAGUAUAAUUAAUUCUAAGAUUCGAAGCUUGGAAUCCCAGCUAGCCUUUCGAGAGAGGGAGGUCUCCUACUUGAACCAAAAUCUGAAUCCCAGCUAGCCUUCAAGUUGGAAUGAUUGUUGAUAUGCCUCAAGCCUCCACUGUAUAAAUCUAAUCCUUGCUAAAAAUCAUUCCGGUUCCACCAUUGUCACUUUCCAAAUGCUAGCAGGAGCACCGUGUUACCAGGUAGUGGUUGUGUAUUAUUGUCUAAUAUCUAUCUACUUAUCUUAAUUAACUUUAAUGUUGGAUAAGGAUACACACCGACCCGGUUAGAUCUUUUUGCCAAUGAUGCGCAACAGAGCGAGGGUAUGUUGGAAAUGAAGCUGGUCUAGUAUCUUCCAUCUUGAGAGUUGAAACCGAUGUUUGCUUUAAGAUAGUGCUUUGUCGGUUUGGACUUUUUUGUCGAGAAAUUGCUUGAAGCAAAGACAGAAACAGGAGGCAAAUAGGAUCUCAUUGUCUCAACCGUCUCAACUGUUUUUCUUGGAUUUCUGCUGAAACUUCAACAAGGGUGGGGUCGCUUGCCCUUUUUUUCUGCUAGCACGACUCUUCCUGUAUGUGGCAGAACCUUCUUGGACUCCACUGCCCCUCCCUGCUGCUACCUGAGAUUUUAGACACCAUGAUAUUUUAGCCUAGCGCACAGCACUCACUUUCUACCCUGAAUGACGAGGAAUUAUGGUUUAAUCUUUCAUGUUCCAGGGGAAGGAUGUCAUGUUCCCAAUUCCUCAAACCCUGCAACCAUGCUAUCGAAGAUUCCCAUUUCCCCUUAACAUUAAACUAUGGUUAAACUUAAACUAGCCAUUUAACCCGUGUU